rnacentral:tRNA from 1 species
GGGGAUGUGGCUCAGAGGUAGAGUGCUUGCCUAGCAUGCAUAAGGCCCUGGGUUUGAUCCCUAGCACCA